rnacentral:rRNA from 1 species
UACAGAGGUGGCAAGCGUUGUUCGGAAUCACUGGGCUUAAAGCGCGUGUAGGCGGCUCGGAAAGCGUCGCGUGAAAUCCCGCAGCUCAACUGCGGAACUGCGCGGCGAACUGCCGAGCUUGAGGCUGGUAGAGGUGCCUGGAACUCUAGGUGGAGCGGUGAAAUGCGUAGAUAUCUAGAGGAACGCCGGAGGCGAAAGCGGGGCACUGGGCCGGUUCUGACGCUGAGACGCGAAAGCGUGGGGAG